rnacentral:rRNA from 1 species
UACGUAGGGUGCGAGCGUUAAUCGGAAUUACUGGGCGUAAAGCGUGCGCAGGCGGUUUGUUAAGACAGGUGUGAAAUCCCCGGGCUUAACCUGGGAAUGGCGCUUGUUACUGGCAAGCUAGAGUGUGUCAGAGGGAGGUAGAAUUCCACGUGUAGCAGUGAAAUGCGUAGAGAUGUGGAGGAAUACCGAUGGCGAAGGCAGCCUCCUGGGAUAACACUGACGCUCAUGCCACGAAAGCG